GGAAGAGCAAGUAGCAAUGAAAAGGCUGACGCUGCCCAGCAGGAAUACGGCAGCAUGUGGUUGUGAGUCCAAACUGCCUACUGGUUGGAAGGAAAUGGGGGCGGGGAAUCCUAAUCCUAACGGGAAAAGGCAGACGCGCCCUCUCCUGGCAUCUCGGAAGAAUUCUGUUUCACUUUCUAGACCGCCAGCUCGUCAGGCUCCGCCUGCCGGAUCUUUGACAUCAAUCACCCUUGAGUUAACCUCCAGAACUGGGCAGAGGGGUAGCGUGUCAGUGCCCGCCCCCACACGUAAUUCCCGAGUGUCCCUCCUGCGUCUGUUAGGGGUGCCUGGGGUGAGUCACACUCCCUUUGGGUUUCUUUCUACUAUUUUAAACCAUAUUAAGCUCCUACAGAGCCCACAGGGGGGUGUAGCCACAGGUGCUCUGCUAUGUGACUGGCUCCCUGCUCCUCUUCUCCACUGGUGCCAGACCAUACUUGCUCCAACAUGGCCAUCUAAGAAGCUAUUUUGA
rnacentral:lncRNA from 1 species